CUGAAACCGUGUACGUACAAGCAGUGGGAGCACGCUUAGGCGUGUGACUGCGUACCUUUUGUAUAAUGGGUCAGCGACUUAUAUUCUGUAGCAAGGUUAACCGAAUAGGGGAGCCGAAGGGAAACCGAGUCUUAACUGGGCGUUAAGUUGCAGGGUAUAGACCCGAAACCCGGUGAUCUAGCCAUGGGCAGGUUGAAGGUUGGGUAACACUAACUGGAGGACCGAACCGACUAAUGUUGAAAAAUUAGCGGAUGACUUGUGGCUGGGGGUGAAAGGCCAAUCAAACCGGGAGAUAGCUGGUUCUCCCCGAAAGCUAUUUAGGUAGCGCCUCGUGAAUUCAUCUCCGGGGGUAGAGCACUGUUUCGGCAAGGGGGUCAUCCCGACUUACCA
rnacentral:rRNA from 1 species